GUUUUAUGAAAUGUGUGUCAACUGAUCCCAGAAUCCCCUGGGCCUGGGUUGGCCUUCUGUCAGCUGGUUGUUACUGGGGCUCUGGGGGUAUGAUCUGACAGUCACCCUGAAAAC
rfam:Salmo salar isolate Sally breed double haploid chromosome ssa07, whole genome shotgun sequence.